rnacentral:rRNA from 1 species
UACGUAGGGUGCAAGCGUUGUCCGGAAUUAUUGGGCGUAAAGAGCUCGUAGGCGGUUUGUUGCGUCGACCGUGAAAACUUGAGGCUUAACCUCAAGCUUGCGGUCGAUACGGGCAGACUUGAGUUCGGCAGGGGAGACUGGAAUUCCUGGUGUGGCGGUGAAAUGCGCAGAUAUCAGGAGGAACACCGGUGGCGAAGGCGGGUCUCUGGGCCGAUACUGACGCUGAGGAGCGAAAGCGUGGGGAGCGAACAGG